rnacentral:rRNA from 1 species
CCAUAAGACUCUCGGCAACGGAUAUCUUGGCUCUUGCAUCGAUGAAGAACGUAGCAAAAUGCGAUACCUGGUGUGAAUUGCAGAAUCCCGUGAACCAUCGAGUUUUUGAACGCAAGUUGCGCCCGAGGCCUCUUGGUUGAGGGCACGUCUGACUGGGCGUCACAC